rnacentral:lncRNA from 1 species
CUAGGUAGGAGGUGGGAUGCCCCAGGGCAGGGGGAGGUAGGAGUCAUCCUAGGAGAUUCUAGCGAGCCCAUGAGCAGCUCUCCACAGCCCAGGCACAACGACCCUACAGGUGCUUUCAUGUUCUUCUUCAAGCCACAAGAUAAACACACAAGGCUUCUCAGAGUGCUGGGCAGGUCUCAGGCCUUGCGGGGCUGGAGGGAGCUGGAGUGGUGGGGUCUGGGGUCCACAGUGGCUGGAAGUAGCAGCUCAGGAACCUUCAGAAACCCUGGGAAGGGCAGCUGGCCACACAGAGCCAGCAGGUGUCCUUGGCAUUUGCCUUACAUUCUGGGAGAACAAAGGGCUGCGUCUUAAUCCGGUGGGGAACUCAAGUGACAGGUUAUCCCUGUCCAGCCUCUCUGUCCUAAGGGAGCAUGUUCAGCAUGAGUGACCCAGGACUCUGGGAACAGCUGGAAUUC